rnacentral:rRNA from 1 species
UACGGAGGGUGCAAGCGUUAAUCGGAAUUACUGGGCGUAAAGCGUGCGUAGGCGGUUCGUUAAGUCUGUUGUGAAAGCCCCGGGCUCAACCUGGGAAUGGCAAUGGAUACUGGCGAGCUAGAGUGUGUCAGAGGAUGGUGGAAUUCCCGGUGUAGCGGUGAAAUGCGUAGAGAUCGGGAGGAACAUCAGUGGCGGAAGGCGGCCAUCUGGGACACACUGACGCUGAGGCACGAAAGCGUGGGGAGCAAACAGG